UACGUAGGCAGCGAGCGUUGUUCGGAGUUACUGGGCGUAAAGCGUGCGUAGGCGGUGGUCCAAGUCUGGUGUGAAAUCUCCCGGCUUAACUGGGGGGGGUGCGCCGGAAACUGGGCCGCUGGAGUACGGGAGAGGCAAGCGGAAUUCCAGGUGUAGCGGUGAAAUGCGUAGAUAUUAGGAAGAACACCGGUGGCGAAGGCGGCUCUCUGGAACGGUACUGACGCUGAGACGCGAAAGCGUGGGGAGCGAACAGG
rnacentral:rRNA from 1 species